CCCCCGCCGAGCCGCCCCGAGCCCGGUUCCGAAGCCAGUCGGCUAUUCUCGGCCGCAGACCGAGGAGUCUGCGGGCGGCGGCGGCGGCGGCCCUCGGAAUCACCCAAGGCGAGGAUUUUGCAGGCUGCCCAAGUUUCGGCAACUUUUCGGAGACUAGUGUCUCAACGUUCGGAGGAUUCCGUGGGUCCUCGCGUUCCCUCCGCCAGCCCCUUCUAAAGGUUCGGGUUUUUCCUACAGCUCAAGCCGCCCCAGGCUCUGGCUUGCUCUGAAGAUCCGCCCCACCCCUCGCUGGCCCCGUCCAAGCAGUCGGUCUCUUCCAACAAUCCCAACCGUCCAGACCUUCGGCUCUUUCCGAAGGUUUCCAGCGCUCGCUCACGGCCCCUCAAGAGACUAAGCCCGAUUCUAAUCUUCGGCUCUUUCCGGAGGUUCCACUGGGUCACUCCGCCCCUUCCGGAGACUUCCGUUCCCUUCCGCCACGGCUUCGGGAAGGCCUCAGGCACCGGGGGAAACUUCGGCUUUUUCCGCCGUCGCUUCGGCUCCUUUCGGCUCCAAGACCCAGAAAGGGAGGGAGUGCAGAGGAGAGCGCGGCUCGGGGCGCCUGCGCAAGAUGAUUAAGGAGGCGGCGGGAGGCGUUUCUGCGCCUGCGUAGCGGCCAGUCGGUCUCAGUCCACCUUGCGCGUGCGCGGGGACUCCCCCACGCCCACCCCUCCCGUGGGUGCCAACCCCGGGACCGUUAAGCCAGACUGCGCUCUCCCGGUUGCCUUGGCGAUCGCGUUCACGUUCCCACCCCCGCUCCUGCCCAGCGCGCAAGCGCAGGACGUGCCCGCUCCGGGCCUGCCGCCUCCCGGCCCCUGGCGGGCGGGCAGGACGGGCAGGCGAGCAGGACGGGGUCCACACGGCGCCUCCCCCCGGCAGGCAGGCUCAGCUGCAGGUCACUGGACCGGUGCCCCAGCCACGGCCGCGCCUGGUUCCCCGGGGAAGAGGCGGCUGCUCCCCUUCCCCGCCCCUGCCUCCUGGGGAUAAUGACACCCUGUCCUCCCCAGCCUCUCCGGAGGCUCCAGCCCGAGCGCGGUCUCCGUGGCGACGGACCCCCCCUCCCGGCCCGGCCCCUUUCUAGGAAGACCUGGGCCCCAGUUUAUUGAAAAUGUUCGUGUCUCUUUAAUUUAAAUUCUCUGAAUAAU